GAAAACGGGAAAAAUUUUGACCCGCCCCGAAUCCGCCCCGAAAAUCAUUUAUAUUUUAAAAAAAUAUUUCUAAAAAAUAAUGUAUUUACAAAAAAGUUCAAAAUAUAAAUAAGUUAGUACUCUCAUUUCUAAUGUAUUUGAAAUUUUUGAAUUUUGUUUUGAAUUUUGAUUAAUAUUUUUGAUUUUUAUAAUUGAUAUUGUUAAAUUAUAUAUAAUAUUAUUAAAAAUUAUUAUUUUAUAUUUUACAAAAUAUUAAUAAUAUUAUAAUUUUAUAAAAAAUAUUAGUUGGCGGGGCGGAUUCGGGGCGCCGGCGGGAGGCAGUUACGAGGCGGGGUGGAUUAUGGAAUGAAAUUUUUAACCCAUCACGUAUACGGGACAGGAGGCGGGGCGGGAU
rnacentral:lncRNA from 1 species